rnacentral:rRNA from 1 species
UACGUAGGGGGCUAGCGUUGUCCGGAAUCAUUGGACGUAAAGAGCGUGUAGGCGGUCCGGUAAGUCCGCUGUGAAAGUCGGGGGCUCAACCCUCGAAUGCCGGUGGAUACUGUCGGGCUAGAGUGCGGAAGAGGCGAGUGGAAUUCCUGGUGUAGCGGUGAAAUGCGCAGAUAUCAGGAGGAACACCUAUUGCGAAGGCAGCUCGCUGGGACGUAACUGACGCUGAGACGCGAAAGCGUGGGGAGCAAACAGG